UAUACUAAAGCUUCAACCAAGAGAAAUUUAAAAAGUAACACUAUCCUUCAUUAUCCAUAUGAAAACUAACAAGAACUUCAAGUAUAUUCAUUCCUUAUCAAUGUAUAAAGUUGGAUUGGCAAUACGUGCAUGAGCGAACUUGAGCUCAAAAUCAAAUUGUGGUUUAACAUCGGCAGCAAGGCAUCAAUCUAACCCAACACAAUAAAUAAUCGGUUUGAGGUUGGGUUGGAUUUGGAUGGGUUUUUUCUUUAUUCUAUUUCGCCUCGGUUGGGUUUAAAAUCAAGUUGGGCAUGGACGGAUUUGGAUUUACGUACCCAACCCAAGUUGCAUCAUUAACAUGUAGAAGACAAUCUUUAUAAAAGUUGAUAAAUGGAAAGUAUCUUACUUUUAAUUUUUUUUUUCUUUACAGUUUGGUUCUUUAUUUUUAGGGUUAAUCUCAUUUUAUUACGCUAAAGUUUCUUGAUUUUCAAUAUUUAAUAUAUCAUGUUUUUUUUAAUCCUAGAGCGGUACCUAAAGUCAUAAUUUUAGGAUAUUUUCAUAUCUCCGUUAAAAUUGUUGUUAAAUCAACCGUUAAAUGAUGACGUGGUGCCCACAUGGACAAUAAUUGGAUAACAUGUGUCAAUAUAGAGCCCACAUGGAUUAAAAAAAUUAAAUAAAUAAUUAAAAAAAAUAUAUAUAUAUAUAUAUAUAUAUUUUUUUUUUAAAGGGUCGUCUUCUACCUCCCGCCACCCCUCCCCCCGACACUCCAUCCAUUCUCCCUCCUUUCCUUCUCUUCUCUGCACCCACCCAACCCUCCUCUCCUAUCCGACAGCCCCGUGAGCUCGAACGUUUGAGCCCCACCAUGGCAAAAGAUGCCGGCUCUUCCUAGACCCAUCUGCAUCUGUACCGUCUUCUUCUCCAGCACAUGCCUCUCUGUUCAUCCUCCUGGCGAACAACUCGUCAGUUUCCAGGCCCGCCAUGAACUUGAUAGCAGCCACUCCGCAGAGAACAAGCGACGGGAUCCUGACCAAGACGGAGGAGAAAUCGACGUCGCCGCCGGCGCAGGCGUGCCACAGCUUCAAUCUCGCCGCAGAUCUGGCAGCGCACGGCUGAAGAUGGAGGGGUAAGGGUGGAUUUGCAGGGAGUGAGAGGUCUAUAUAGAGGUCACAUCACCAAUUAACCAUUGAUUUAACAGAAAUUUUAACAGAGGCAGAAACCACUCAAUUGUCUCUGUCGUGGAUGAAGUCAUUGCCUGCAUCACAGUCCAAUCCAAUCCCACCGUUGAAAUUCAAUCUUCAAGUUACUUUCCUUUCCCAAUUGAAUUUGUAGCUUCAAAGCAGCCAUCGAAAGUACUCCAACCCUAAGCAAAAGCAAAACCCUGCGUGCCAGGUUUCGCCUAGCUCAAACCCUACUUUUCAUGAGGCAUUCAAACAAAGCUGCUUCUGUCACGCUGUCAGCUUAGGUGUUGUAGAUUUUGCCAUUUCGUGGUGGGGUCAUGUUAAAUUGGUCUUUGAUUUGAUCUUCAACCAGCACGAUCAUUAUAAUGCCAUUCACGAAUAUGAUCGAUAAUUAUAUAUGCAAAGAAUGGUCUAAGAUAAAUACUGCAUAUAUAUAUGCAAAAUAAUGGCUUGCGGUUGCAAGGUGUGGAGCAUGAGAUCACAUAUACAACCUGUGCAAUCUUCUCUUUCAAGAUUUAUUGGUGAAUGUCCAGAAUCUUGGCUUGUAUACUAUAAUCUUAUUGCAUGACGUGAUGUAGUGACACCAGUAUAAAUGGGGAUAACUAUAUUAAAAUAAGGGUGGAAAUGGGGUGAUGUGAAUUAUUCUAGUAGUGUGUUCUAUCCUCUUAGUGAGAGUCCGUUUGAUGUUGACUACUUAGAAAAGCACUUUUGCUCAUAAGAAAGAACGUUGAAUUCUUUUGUUUAAAAUCUAAGGGCACAUUUGUUUGGUCUCUUUAAAUCUCAUUAGACUGGACUACCUUAGAUAGGAGUCUUACCCCGUGUUUGGCGCAAACAAAGAUUGCCUUUAAUGAGACUAAGGUCUCGUUUGGCAGCUUGUACUGUACUGACUAUUUAUGUCAGAUAUGAUAAAUAGUCAUUGGAUAGUACUGACUAAA